UGGGGAAUCUUGCGCAAUGGGCGAAAGCCUGACGCAGCAACGCCGCGUGGGGGACGAAGGCUUUCUGAGUUGUAAACCCCUUUCAGCAGGGACGAUUGUGACGGUACCUGCAGAAGAAGCACCGGCCAACUACGUGCCAGCAGCCGCGGUGAUACGUAGGGUGCAAGCGUUGUCCGGAUUUAUUGGGCGUAAAGAGCUCGUAGGCGGUUCGAUAAGUCGGAUGUGAAACCCCCAGGCUCAACCUGGGGCCGCCAUUCGAUACUGUCGUGACUAGAGUCCGGUAGGGGACCAUGGAAUUCCUGGUGUAGCGGUGAAAUGCGCAGAUAUCAGGAGGAACACCAGCAGCGAAGGCGGUGGUCUGGGCCGGUACUGACGCUGAGGAGCGAAAGCGUGGGGAGCGAACAGGAUUAGAUACCCCCGUAGUCC
rnacentral:rRNA from 1 species